rnacentral:rRNA from 1 species
GACGUAGGGCGCGAGCGUUGUCCGGAUUUAUUGGGCGUAAAGAGCUCGUAGGCGGCUUGUCGCGUCAACUGUGAAAACCCGUGGCUCAACCAUGUGGUCUGCAGUCGAUACGGGCAGGCUAGAAUUCGGUAGGGGAGACUGGAAUUCCUGGUGUAGCGGUGAAAUGCGCAGAUAUCAGGAGGAACACCGGUGGCGAAGGCGGGUCUCUGGGCCGAUACUGACGCUGAGGAACGAAAGCGUGGGGAGCGAACAGG